AGUUGACAAGGUGGUGUUAGGUCAUAGGUUGGAGUCUGAUCUCAAAGGUUUUUUCCACCUAGCUGAUUCUAUGAUGUUUUUUCAUCCUUUUGUCAAAGGCUUCAGGAGGUUGUCAAUCAUACCACUACAUUAGGGAAAAGAAGAGAAAAGAGAAACCAUAUGGUACUAAACUGUUUGAAAAAGGAAAAGCUGCAGCCUCCUCAGGAGGUCUUAAAGCCAAGAGUCAGUAUGCAGACCUGUAUGGGCAACAUGCUAACCAUCUAUCUACUGUUUCUCUCAGUGAGUUUCUUUCUACUCCCUCUCACUUCACCACUGAAAACAUCUAAUAUUGUUUAGAUUUUUGUAGCAUCUGUCACAGCUCCAUAGCAGCAGUUGUAGACAGAAGGGAAAAGCUCAGACCAAUGGAAUCACAUCUUUUUGUACGUACCUCAGGUCAACAUUUGGCUAAUUAUUCUCGUCACUUUUAUAUUCAUGUAUAUGCUAUCUUUUUCACAAUACACCCAAAUGGAACUAUCAGCUGUGACUGUUAUGUAAAGUCUAUUUGAUAGAAUAUUUCUACUGAAAAACCUGAAUGAAAACAAAUCUAAAAGUCUUGGAAUCAUAGAAUCAUUAGGGUUACAAAAGGCCUCCAAGGUCGCCGACUCCGUUUGGCUUGAUAUUCUGCACCAACCACCUUACCUGUUUGACUUAUGUCUGAUAUCAAUCAUAUCUUGUAAUUAUGGUUUUAUCAAAGCUUUUGGUCAAUGUUUCAGUUUAACUGUAGUCAUCUAAUGUCACUAAAAGUAAUGGUUCAUAUUAAGAUUUCAAUCAAACACUUUUCAAGCUAUAUAGAUUUAUCCGUUGUUUAGCAUUUCUCAACAUUUAAGAUAUUUUGCUGUUCACAUGAAUUUUAUCUUUACCUUGUAGCGCAAUGAUUUUCAACUAAAAUGACAGACUGAAACUCUAUAUCUUUGUAUGUUAAAAAGGAUUUUGAAACAAUAUGGUCUGAAAUGCUUCAUCCCAAAAUCCUGCUCAGAAGCUUGCAUAAAAGAGCAUGUGAAAAUCCAGUCUGAGCUGAUCUAUAAGAAUGUAUUGUGACCUGAAUAGUAAGGAUUUCAAUGGGGGUUACAUUUGUCUUUGCUACCUAUACAGAUUUCGUGGUGAGACCCAGCAGAACACUUUAUUUCACAGAAAUAUUGACUAUGUUGGCUAUAAAUAGUCUUAAUAAAAUCUUGCUCUUAAUAAUGAUAUUCAAAUCCCACAUGAUUAUAAAAAGUGAGGGUAACAAAUAGAAUGGAUUUACUGCAUCUGCAAGGACAUUUGUAGUACAAAUUCAACUGGUCAUGCUUUAGAGAAAGAGAUUUUUGAUGCUGACGUCCCCUGUCAGGAAAGCACAAGCUCUACAUUAGGAGAAGAUGACAGGACUGAAUAAAUGGA